AAUAGUAUGAGCAGCGAUAGGCAUAGCCUAUAUAAGCAACUGGAACAAUAGCCUCGGGGUCACUUUAUCAUUAUCGACUGCCGAGUAACAAGUUACCACUUGUAACACGUGUACAGUUUAAGUGUAAUAUAUUCAAUAUUGAAGUACAUGUGUAUACGGUGAAAUAUUUAUUAUACAAAUAAAGGAGCAGUCAGAACCAAUCUCAUUGGCUGACUUAAAAUAAUAUAUUUAUUUUAUUCCUAACGAGUAAAUAAAUUAACUCGCAGAAGAUUAGUCGUAAUCGAACGUUGACGUAGCGUUCAGGCCUGUUGACGAAGCCAAUGUGGUGUAUCGGUGAUCCAAUCGCUUUUACUUAGUUUUUAGUGUACAGUCGCGUUGUUGUGGUGUGUUCUGUUGUACCGUGUGGUGCGCCAGUUUAUUUCCCGGUAAAGUUAUGUUGUGUGUACUGCAAGGAUAGGCUUAACUCAUUUAAACAUCCUGGGCCCCCUAGGCGAGUACUUUGCCUAGUGUUAUACAUAUUUGCUGUAAACGUUCCAGGUAUCUUGGCGUAUUGCUGUUGGAGUAGCCGGGGGCGCGACUUGCAUGAUAAUGCAGUAGUGGUAUAUACAUAUUUACCUGAUAGCGACUCCUGAAAGUAUGCCCUGGAGUUAGGGCUGUGAAAAUAUAGGGAUCUUGCGAGAGUACAGGGAUUGGCUGUGAAUUGAGAACGUCGCCUUUUCGAAUUUAGCGAUCGAGUCGAGUCGAGAAGUCAGUGUUAUGGAAAUUAUCAAUUAUCUAAAAUGGGUGUCAAUUUAAAUGUCAACUUAAUCUGAUAGCUUUGCACAUACAUACUAACAGCAACAUACAUAAAUCUUCAGCUACUAUUAAAAGAACGCAGGCGUAUGGAUAAAACUAUCUUUCUUCAAUGUGAUGCAAAGUUAGUUUCAAUAUUGUCUGCUAAAAUACUGCCAACA